AUAUAAUCUUUAAUAAGGAAUCUGUCUCCCCAUUGAUCGCCAGGGUUGAUUCGGCUGAUCUGGCUGGCUAGGCGGGUGUCCCCUUCCUUCCUCACCACUCCAUGUGCGUCCCUCCCGAAGCUGCGCGCUUGGUGGAAGAGGACGACCAUCCCAGAUAGAAGGAGUGUACCGUUCUUUGGUCAAGGGUAUACGAUAGCUGCGCUCCCCUGCUAGAACCUCCAAACAAGCUCAAGGCCCAAUCCUCUUUUUAAAGCCUUCUCAGUGGUGGCACCCACCCUGUAGAA